GGUGGGCUUGGGCUGGUGACGCGUGCGCCGGCCGGCCGCCGAGGGGCUACCGUUCUGCCUCCGACCGGUCGUGUGUGGGUUUACUCGGAGGUGCUUUGCCUCUGAAGAAAAGAGAAAUACUAGGCUUUAGAAUUUCACCAUAUGAAUUUUGGGAGAGAGGAGCACAGUUCAGCCCAUAACUAACACACGACGGAAUGAAGUUGAUAAUAGUGAGACCUUGUUGGUACAAGACUAUGUAACAUAACCUGCGCUUCUCAACAAAGAAUUGCUUUUCUGACUUCUGCACUCAAUAGCAAGACAAAUCUCUCCUCUGCCUUCUCCUUAUCAGACUACUCAACAUGAAGGCAAUAAGAAUGAAGACCUCUAUGUAUAAUAAUUGACUUCCACUUAAUAAAUACCUGAACAGAUGUUGAGUACAAGCUGAUCCACCUACGUUCAACCUGAGAGAGUCCACAUCCACAGACUGUUUCAUUUCCCUUUUUCAAUUUACAUAGAAGCAUAGAUUCUUGCUGGCAUAUACAAAUGCGCCAUUUAAGGCAAUCAAAAAUGGUUCCACAUCUCAUCUGAUUUCCACAAUUGUUGCUGUAACGAUGGACUACUGAGGAGAGAGACAAUUUCUCUGGCACAUCUUCCCACAUUUUAGCAACAUGUUCAUGGAGAGCCAAUAUUCAGUAAUUACAGCCCAAUUCCUCACAAUUUCACAAUUCGCUAACAAUAUGCAUUUUCACAAUGUAAAGCUGAUUUUCCUUUAACCAAAUCAAACAUGAAAAGAUAGCUGCAUGCAAUGGGCAAUCUAGAUCAUUAGAAGAUUGAUGUAAAAUUAGAGGACACUGAGACUGGAAUAGAUUGCAAACUUCAGGGAGCUCAGAAAACUUGUAAACUCUACAUUUUGAGGAAAUAUGUUGUCGAUGCUUUUGCAACUCUAUGCAGUAACUUAACAAAUAAAGCCUUAAAGUAAC
rnacentral:lncRNA from 1 species